UUUUUUUUUGCUUUCAAAGCAAUUUGUUUUUUCAGAUAUCAGAAAAACCGUGGAGUUGGACAAUUAGAUUGAAAAUCGAGCCGUUGUGAGUUGACUCGGUGUAACUCGGUCAUGUACAGUGGAUCCAGUGACAGCGAUGGCCAUAAGGCCGCCACUCAAUGGAAGAUCCCGCCAGCUUCGUCGAUGCUUUGGGCCCCAGAACCUUCCUCGGUACAUCGGAACCGGUGCCGGGCUUGGAUCCGAAGCUCUAAUGAGAAAAGCAACUGUCUCCAGGGAUUAAUGGAAACUACAUAAGAGAUUCGCACCGGAAAUGGAUUGAAGGCGGCGACUAUGGCCUGUGCAUCGAGGACGUGAGGGACGAAAUAUGGGAUAUGGUGAAGCCAGUUGAUCUUCAUUGAGGAUUAAACCGGCCAACUUCCUGGCUUGUAAACAUGGCCAAAAAUCUUAUCCAAGAAGGAAAAUCGGUAAAAAUAUCAUAGAAACCUUUAUAUUAACAGUUAAAUUGUAUUUUUUUCUCUACUCAAAAAAUAGACAAAUUAAUCUAUAUACAUUAAAUUAAAGAAUAAACUGAUCAUUCUAUUAAAAA